rnacentral:rRNA from 1 species
GCAACGGAUAUCUCGGCUCUCGCAUCGAUGAAGAACGUAGCAAAAUGCGAUACUUGGUGUGAAUUGCAGAAUCCCGCGAAUCAUCGAGUCUUUGAACGCAAGUUGCGCCCGAAGCCUUYAGGCCGAGGGCACGUCUGCCUGGGCGUCAUGCACUGCG